rnacentral:rRNA from 1 species
GCUACGGGAGGCAGCAGUGGGGAAUAUUGCACAAUGGGGGAAACCCUGAUGCAGCGACGCCGCGUGAGUGAAGAAGUAAUUCGUUACGUAAAGCUCUAUCAGCAGGGAAGAAACACUGACCUUACGGUCAGCAGACGGUACCUGAGUAAGAAGCCCCGGCUAACUACGUGCCAGCAGCCGAGGUAAUGCGUAGGGGGCAAGCGUUAUCCGGAUUUCCUGGGUGUAAAGGGAGCGUAGACGGUGCGGCAAGUCUGUAGUGAAAUGCCGCAGAUUAACUGCGGAACUGCUUGGGAAACUGGCGAACUAGAGUGCGGGAGGGGUAAGCGGAAUUCCUGGUGUAGCGGUGAAAUGCGUAGAUAUUAGGAGGA